rnacentral:rRNA from 1 species
GAUGAACGCUGGCGGCGUGCUUAACACAUGCAAGUCGAACGAUGAUGCCCAGCUUGCUGGGUUGGUUAGUGGCGAACGGGUGAGUAACACGUGAGUAACCUGCCCUUAACUCUAGAAUAAACCUGGGAAACUGGGGCUAAUACCGGGUAGGAGCGUCCACCGCAGGGUGGGGGUUGGGACGAUUGCUCGGUUUUGGGUGGACUCGCGGCCUACCAGCUUGUUUGUGUGGUAAUGGCACACCAAGGCGGCGACGAGUAACCCGCCUGUGGAGGUGACAGGCCACCCUGGCACUGAGACACGGCCUAGACUCCUACGGGAGGCAGCGGUGGCGAAUAUUGAACAAUGGGCGGAAGCCUGACGCAGCGCCGCCGCGUGGGGGAUGACGGCCUUCGGGUUGUAAACCUCUUUCAGUAGGGAAGAAGCGAUAGUGACGGUACCCGCAGAAGAAGCACCGGCUAACUACGUG